rnacentral:rRNA from 1 species
CAAGUUGAACGAAUGAAUCAAAAGCUUGCUUUUGAGGAUUUAGUGGCAAACGGGUGAGUAACACGUGGGAAUCUACCUAUCAGUUCGGAAUACCUUCUGGAAACGGAAAUUAAUACCGAAUAUUCUCUUCGGAGGAAAGAUUUAUCGCUGAUAGAUGAGCCCGCGCUAGAUUAGGUAGUUGGUGGGGUAAUGGCCUACCAAGCCAAAGAUCUAUAGCUGGUCUGAGAGGAUGAUCAGCCACACUGGGACUGAGACACGGCCCAGACUUC